UAUCUUCCGCUAAUGUUUUAAAAAAUAUUUUGUAGAGAUAGGUCUGUGUUGCCCAGGCUGGUCUUAACUCUCAGGCUCAAGCCAUCCUCCUGCCUUGGCCUCCCAAAAUGUGGAGAUUAAAGGUGUGAGCCACCAUACUCAGCCCCUUUUGACGUUUCUGACAAACUUCCCAAGAUUAAUUUCUAAAUUAAGCCUUUUUUAUUGAUCUUGAACUAACUUUGGGAUUUUUGAGAUGGGCUCCUGGAAAAUGUGAAAGAAUUUCUCUCUCACCUUGUAAAAGAGGGACAUUAAACUAAUUGGCUUAUUUGAUAUGUUAAAUUAUGUGGGAAGCAUUGUCAAGUAAAAGUGACGUUUAGCUUUCUUUAUAUUUAUAUGGGCACAUGUUACUAAUAAGAGUGUUUCAGAAAUAAAAUUUGUUAAAAUUUGCCAAUACCCUUAGCUAUUCAUCAUAUGUCUGAUAUAAUGUUAUCAAUCAGAAUUCUACAUCUUAUUUUACAAUGUUGUAUGUCACAGAAAUAACCAAAUUUCCUCAUCAAUUAGAUUGUAAGAAACUCUCAUUAGAUAUUUAAAUGUGACUACUUAAAAAUCUUUUAUCAUUUACAUGUUAUUUUACUUUGAUAUUUUCCUAAAAGCUUUUGCAAGCCACUAUGGUCAAAAUUUGUCUUCAAAGAGAUUCAUGGAAAAGACUCCAACAAGUACAGGUUUUUGAUAACUUUAAGAUCACACCAUUGGCCUGGAAAUGCCUCUUAUUGUUUACACUAUGAAGUCUCAACUUGGAUGGAAGCCCAACUGCAACACGGCCUCCUAAAAUGAGACGCAACUGUUCAACUGAACUGAACUAUUCUCAGGACUAAAAGGCUGUGUCAAUAA